rnacentral:tRNA from 1 species
GCACCCAUAGCUCAGCUGGAUAGAGCAACUGCCUUCUAAGCAGUAGGUCAUAGGUUCGAAUCCUAUUGGGUGUACCA